GAGCACGUAGGUGGGUUUGUAAGUCAGAUGUGAAAGCCUUCUGUUCAACGGAAGAAUUGCAUCUGAAACUGUGAAUCUUGAGUGUAGGAGGGGAGAAUGGAACUUCUGGUGGAGCGGUGAAAUGCGUAGAUAUCAGAAGGAACGCCGGCGGCGAAAGCGAUUCUCUGGCCUAUUACUGACACUGAGUGUGCGAAAGCUAGGGGAGCAAACGGGAUUAGAUACCCCGGUAGUCCUAGCCGUAAACGAUGGGCACUAAGUAGAGGGGUUUU
rnacentral:rRNA from 1 species